GCAAGGUGCCUGUCAGGACAAGUUGCGAUCAGUCAGACUCGCUAAACCCACAACUGGUCCUUGACGGCUCGAAUCAAAAAUGAUUCAAUCCCCUUUGACGCCUCUAUUUGCAGAAAUCCAUGAUUCAACAUGCAGACUCAAAAUGUAAAAGGGAGGAAAAAGAAACAGACUUGAUGUCGACUAAACGGCGAAAGGAUUGAAGCAAAACAGGCCACCCAUCAUCGCACGAGGGGAGAUGACGGCAACAGACACCAGGGCCAAGAAGGGAGAUGACGGCAACAGACAGCAGGGUAAAGAAGGGAGAUGACACCAACAGACACCAGGAUGCUGAGGAGAGAUGAUGGCAACAGACACCAGAAUGCAAAAUCCCUAAAACAAAACAAGGGCUCAAGACUUUCCCCAUAAAACAGAAUUGAAAAUUGUAGUCAUUAAGACAUAGGAUUGUUAUGUGUUUUCAGAGGGGAGAUGACGGCAACAGACACCAGAAUGCAGAGGGGAAAUGACGGCAACAGACACCAGGGUCAAGAAGGGAGAUGGCGGCAACAGACAGCAGGGUCAAGAAGGGAGAUGACACCAACAGACAUCAGGAUGCAGAGGAGAGAUGAUGGCAACAGACACCAGAAUGCAAAAUCCCUAAAACAAAACAAGGGCUCAAGACUUUCCCCAUUAAACAGAAUUGAAAAAUGUACUCAUUAAGACAUAGGAUUGUUAUGUGUUUUCAGAGGGGAGAUGACGGCAACAGACACCAGAAUGCAGAGGACAGAUGACGUCUACAGACACCAGGGUCAAGAAGGGAGAUGACGGCAACAGACAGCAGGGUCAAGAAGGGAUAUGACGGCAACAGACACCAGGAUGCAGAGGAGAGAUGAUGGCAACAGACACCAGAAUGCAAAAUCCCUAAAACAAAACAAGGGCUCAAGACUUUCCCCAUAAAACAGAAUUGAAAAAUGUACUCAUUAAGACAUAGGAUUGUUAUGUGUUUUCAGAGGGGAGAUGACGGCAACAGACACCAGGGUCAAGAAGGGAGAUGACGGCAACAGACAGCAGGGUCAAGAAGGGAGAUGACACCAACAGACAUCAGGAUGCAGAGGAGAGAUGAUGGCAACAGACACCAGAAUGCAAAAUCCCUAAAACAAAACAAGGGCUCAAGACUUUCCCCAUAAAACAGAAUUGAAAAAUGUACUCAUUAAGACAUAGGAUUGUUAUGUGUUUUCAGAGGGGAGAUGACGGCAACAGACACCAGAAUGUAGAGGACAGAUGACGUCUACAGACACCAGGGUCAAGAAGGGAGAUGGCGGCAACAGACAGCAGGGUCAAGAAGGGAGAUGACACCAACAGACAGCAGGAUGCAGAGGAGAGAUGAUGGCAACAGACACCAGAAUGCAGAAGGGAGAUGGCGGCAACAGACACCAGGGUCAAAAAGGGAGAUGACGGCAACAGACACCAGGGUGGCGGGGGAGAUGACACCAACAGACACCAGGAUGCAGAGGAUGGAUGAUGGCAACAGACACCAGGAGAUGUAAAACAAGCGGACCUUCUUACAUUCACCACGUGUGCAACAUCACUCGCUCCCGCGGAGCAGAGAGGUAGCGACAUGGCAACGUUAGCUCUGGCGCUAACUGUGCCGUGCGGGUGGCAACACGAGCGAGAGAAGGUGCCAAUCUUCUAACAAAUGAAGGAAAAAUGAAUUCCCAAGAAAAACAGCAGGGGGUCCCUCGCCUGGCGGUGGUUUGGCUUUCAAGCGGGAAGAUGUUGAACAAUGAUGCGGCAAAAGCGUUGCUACAAAAGUAGCUGCUACUGUUUUAAAGGCCCACAGCACAUUCUAAAAAUAUUAUAAAAUAAACAAAAACAUAACAAAAGUGAAAUACAAAAGCUUGAAGGUUAAAUGUAUUUUAGAAAAAGUUGCAAUGUUGACAAAUGAAAUAAAGCUGUUUUUUUUUCUGUCAAACUGUCAUUGCUCAAAACAUAAUAUUGAAUCAAAAUCAACGUUACUAUGAAUUAUUGACCUAUCCAAGGUUCACAUUACUUCACAUCAAAUAUUCCACUAAGAAAAAUAUUUUUGGUGGAAGAUUUUGCAAAUUUGUUAAAUAAAUAGCCCCAAAAAUUAUAUUUUGUUGUUUUUUUACUGUACCGAAAACGAACCGAACCGUGACCUCUAAACUAGGGAUGCACCGAUUAAUCGGUAACCGAAUAUAUUCGGCCGAAUAUGGCAAAAAAAGCCACAUUUCGGCCUUCGGUGGAAUGAGUUAAAAACAAGGCCGAAUAGUGGCGUGUGACGCAAUUUUUGGACGCGGUGACGCAAUCAACCAACGUGCAGUGACGUUGGGAUAUGUUGUGUACCUGUAUAAGUGUAUGAGGUUACAAGCACACACUUAUUGAGAUUUAGUGGGGCCUCUGUUUACAUUAUUAGCCUGUUGUGUAGGCUACCUGUAUAAGUGUAUGAGGUUACAAGCACACACUUAUUGAGAUUUACUUGAGCCUUCUGUUUACAUUAUUAGCCUGUUGUGUAGGCUACCUGUAUAAGUGUAUGAGGUUACAAGCACACACUUAUUGAGAUUUACUUGAGCCUUCUGUUUACAUUAUUAGCAUAUCUACUGUGGCUAAGCAGACUUUUGCCAAAAGGACAAUAAUUCAUUAGUUGUGGGUUUAUCCACUUUAAUGCACUUUAUUUUUUUUUGGAAUGCAUGUUUUGUUUGAAGGCCUAAUAUAAAUGA